CAGUCGCCACGGGAACACGGAGGGUGCAAGCGUUAAUCGGAAUUACUGGGCGUAAAGCGCACGCAGGCGGUUUGUUAAGUCAGAUGUGAAAUCCCCGAGCUUAACUUGGGAACUGCAUUUGAAACUGGCAAGCUAGAGUCUUGUAGAGGGGGGUAGAAUUCCAGGUGUAGCGGUGAAAUGCGUAGAGAUCUGGAGGAAUACCGGUGGCGAAGGCGGCCCCCUGGACAAAGACUGACGCUCAGGUGCGAAAGCGUGGGGAGCAAACAGGAUUAGAUACCCCAGUAGUCCCUGUCUCUUAUAC
rnacentral:rRNA from 1 species